rnacentral:rRNA from 1 species
GACGAACGCUGGCGGCGUGCCUAAUACAUGCAAGUCGAACGCAGUGGGGACGGGUGAGUAACACGUGGGUAACCUCCCCAUCAGAGGGGAUAACACUUGGCAACCGGUGCUAAACCGAUACUGAUGGAUGGACCCUCGGUGCAUUAGCUAGUUGGUGAGGUAACGGCUCACCAGGGCAACGAUGCAUAGCGGACCUGAGAGGGUGAGCGGCCAAAAUGGGACUGAGACACGGCCCAGACUCCUACGGGAGGCAGCAGUGGGGAAUCUUCGGCAAUGGACGAAAGUCUGACCGAGCAACGCCGCGUGAGUGAAGAAGGUUUUCGGAUCGUAAAACUCUGUUGUGAGAGAAGCGGUAUCUAACCAGAAAGCCACGGCUAACUACGUGCCAGCAGCCGCGGUAAUUC